GAAGGGCUGUGAGGGAAGUGUGAGGGCUUGAGGGGCUGUGGGGGCAUGGGGAGCCGUGAGAGGGCUGUGAGGGCUGAGGGCAGUGUGGAGGUUCAGGGCGUCCAGCUGCUGUGAGGGCUUAGGGCUGCUCUGAACCCUGCAGUGGCAGCUCUCUAGAGGCCCCUAUGAUGUGAGGGGAAGGCCCCAGUGAGGGCCUCCUGCCUGUGAGGGGAUCUGAGGUAGACAUUUUUUAGUUAUCAAGGCUUCCCCACGUGGGCACCUCCAGCCUGGGCUGUGUGUGGGUGCUGCAGCCCUGUCAUGAGGCAGCCAGACACCCCAUGCUGGAUAAAUACCAGCCUCGCCUUUCCUUGUCCCUUAUUCUGUCUCCCAGCUUUGUGAGCACAUUCUUGCCCAGACAGUGCAUCCAUUGGUCACAGUUUUAUUAAGCAUACUUGAUUAUUGUUUCAGUAGAAUCCUUUUUAUGGUUCUAUGUAUUCAUUGUGAUGCCAGCUUGGUCUACAAGUCCCAGCAUUUCUUCUUGUUUCAUACUGGAGCAAAAACUUGAAAGAGGCUCCUAAUGGAGCUCCCAAGACAAGGAGUCUCGUCCUGCUGCCUUGCUGUGGGGUGGGCUGAGGCAAACGCAGCCAUGACCUCAAUUCUGCUGACACAGCCAGCUCUGUGUGACACACAGACGGCUCGUACACAUCCUGGAAUCCAUGCCUGGAUAACAAUAAUCCAAUCCUGUGCCUGGGUCAGGUGAGGAGGAGGUGGCAGGAUAUAGAAGUCCCAUGAAGGCUUUGGCUGGAGCUUGAAUGGCCUCUGGUAGUCGGCUUAAUACAAAGAAUAUGAUGAUCGAUAUUUCUGGCAUAUAAACAACAUUGCUGCAGAGGUGCUGGAAGGAGUGCAGGAACACUUGGAGCAGCCCCAGAGCAUCAGGAGUGACUGAGAGGGUCCUGGGGCUGUGUCUGCCUCUGAGGUGUCUGGGGGGACACACAGGGCUCAUCCCUCACAUCCACAGCCUGAAUGCAGCACGUUGAUGCAGCUCCCUUUGAGAUAGCUGAGUAACGCAGAGGCAUUGGGGUCCAGAUUUAUCCUGCUCAUUUCAGGCAUUGAUUAAAUGGUGUUCACACUGGAAUCAGAGGAAAGGGAUGGCUCAGCCCACUCCAGCUCAGAGCAGUCCUCUGACAUCACCUUUCUGUUCUCUGUGAUGCUGUUUGAGGUGACCAAUUCCAAAAACUGCAGCAUCAUUUAGGUGCUAAAGGCAGCCAGGAUGAAUCUGGAUACGGCUUGCUCAAGAUUUCACACAAGCCUGUGCUAAUCAGUAAAGACAGCUUUUCCUGCAGGAUGUGAUGCCAUCUCUUCAGAGUAAUGUACAAAAAGAAUCCUGCUUCUUUCUGAUUAAAACCAGGGAAUGUAGAGCGUGCUGCCUGCCUUGUGCUGUCUGGGGAGGUACAUUCAGGAUCAAUUCUCUUCAGGUGUGCUCAGCACAGCGUUCAGAGGCACGUGUGCUCAGGAAACCCUGGGAAACCUGCCCUGAAUGGAAUGGGGGAGCCACUGCAGGCUUGGGGGAGGUUUUCUGCUACAGUGCUGCUGUAUUUAAUGCAGGUACAGCUUUGGGUUUUUUCAGCCAGGGCCAGAAAGCAAAGGCCUGUGCAUUAGUGCCUCCAUGUCCUACUGUGCGAGCAAUCCCGAGCCAUUGUGCUUCCCACAGCCUCUACUCCAGCCUGCACUGCCUUUCAUGUUCGGGAAGCUGCUCUGUAAUGUGUGGAGUGAGCAAUUGUUGCCACCCCCAGCAUUCCCAGAGGCAGUGUGAGAGUGGAAAUGCUCUGCUGGUUAAGGCUCCCACACCUGUCUGCAGAGCCCAGUGGAGCAGGGCUGGGACCCUAUGGAGCAGCUAAACUUUGCUCUCUGAUCGAGCUUCCAGAAGUUUCCAAGGAGAUUCAGCCACCUGAAUAUCUGAGGAGGAAGCAUUUCAAAUUAUUUGUGCAACAUUAAUUUUUGCUAAUUCUAGCCCAGACAGCAAGUAUGUAUGUUCUUAGCUACCUGCACAUCCACAGGAAAUGACAAUCCUAUCUUAAAUAUUUUCCCAUUUUUUAAAUUGAAGUAAGAUGCCAGUAUUUUUCUCUGAGGAGGAGCACAGUCAGGAAUCUCCAUGGAGAGCUGCUGGAGCUGCUGACCCUGUCAGCCCUGGUAUUUCUGACGCUGUGGCAGGCCAGCAUUAAUUAGUGUGUGCCAAGAGGUGAGCUGGCAAGUGCCACAGCAGGUCUGUGCCAGAACCCUGGCUCACACAGAGCAUUCCUCUCAGGGUGAACCUCUGCAUGGAAUACUGAGUGUGAGGCAAAUUCUGGGACAAAAAGGUGCACAUUCCACGGUCCUGCCUGAGCCAAGUGCUGCAGUGCAUUUCUGGUGGCCCUUGGCUGGUGGAGAGGCUGCAGCUUGCCAGAGUAGGGAGUGCUGGAAGGCAGGUGGGAGGGCAGAGGAAGGAACAGCACUGAGGUGGGAUUUUUGUGGCUCCCAUGCUGUGUGUUCAUUGCAGACAUCUGUCUUAGCUGGUAUUUGAUUACUUUGAAAGCUCUCCUCAAACUCUGCUGUAAGUGACAAGCAGGGAGGUUUCACCUCAUUUAGGGGCAGAUCCCAUCUGUAAGUGCUGCAUAAGAGGGGUCCUAGGAAACAUCAGGGCAGCGUUACAUGGCCAAAGACCCUGGGUAUAACCCAAAGAGAGACACAGGGAAGUUAAAACAAGUUGGAAAUCACAUUUCUGUUUUGCUGAAUUAGGUAUUAGGGUUUUUUAAAACUUAUUAUUGCAAUUGUUUUGGUUUUGUAACUACCUGUAUUGCCUUUUGCUUGGAAACAGAUUUUACUGUAAACACAACUGGUUUGGACAGAGUGAGGAGGAACUUUUUUUUCACUUUUGCAUAUUACCUUUCCCUUUCACUGAACAAGUGUUCUGUGUGUGUGUGCAGAGCUGAUCCCUCCCCUCAGCAGGCAGGCACACAGCGACUGUCCUUCCUCCCUUGGUGCUUAACCAGUGAGACUGCAGCCUGUGUCUCUGAAACACGAUCCAGUCUGAACUGAGCCUCUACCUGGGGCUGGCAGGAGCCCAGGCAGGAAUCACAGGACUAAUUCUCUCUCUGUAGGUAAAAACCUGAAGCCCUGAGUUAAGGGAGGGACUCUAGAGGAUGAGUGUGGGUGGGAGCUGCCUCCAGAACCAGAGGGUUUUUGGUGUUGUGGUUGUUUCAGGUUUAUGGUAACACUGAAGUGAGACGUGGGUAUGUGCAGGUGUUUUCUCAUUCUCAUCUGAUUGUUGCUUCUAAGGGUAAGCAGCCUUGUUUUCCAGAAAUUACUGCUCCUGUGAUAUUGAAGUUGUGGAGGUGAGAGGCUGCUUCCAGAGGCCGCCAUGUAAACUUAUGGCAUAAACAGCCUCCUGUCCUGAUGAGUGCUGUGGUUUAACUACGAUUGGUGUGGAAGAAGAGCUCCUUCCAUUUGGUUUGAUGAUUUCCACUGAGUAACUCCAUUCACGAGGCCCUGAGCCUGUCCCUUCAGAGCUUUCACUCCAGGACUGUUUCACAUUUGUUGUGAUACUGUGAGACAAGGUUCCACAGCUCUGCUGCUGUUCCUUGUCCAGUGAUAAGCCGGAUAGCUGUUGCCUUCUUCCAUGUGGAGGAUCCGUUUCUCCUGAGACUUUCCACCAAGAAGUGGUGACUAAUUUGGUCAUGAGGUGCACAUAUGGUGACACCCCUGCUGUGAACAAAAAUAAGCUUUCCUUCACACAAAAGUUGAUUUUAUCACUCCUCUGUCUCUCUCAAACCUCCUCUUCAUUCCCAGGGCACUUCUCUUCCUGAUAGGGAUUAUUCUUUUCCCUUAUUUCCAAAAGAGCCUUCAUCCAUACUCCAUGCUAGUGUCUGUCUCCCUGCAUAGAGGACUUCUCCAGUGCCAUGGCUUCUUAAAUCCCUGGUCAGAGUGGCUUUCACAUCCCACACAGAGAGUCUCCAUACUGCAGUGUCUUUCCCCUGCAUCCACAAGGUGUUCCCAGAUCAGCCCCCUUGCUAACUGAUGUCAUUUGUGGUGGGAGAAUGGCUCUGGAGAAAUGGCUCUGGAGAAUGGGAGGGAUCUCUGGCUCUGUCAGAGAUUUCCUUAGGCUUUCUGAGGGGUGCUCUGCCAGCCUCCCUCUCGUGACUGAUCCCUGGCAUUGCACACUACUGCUGCAGCAGUUCCUGUUCUGUGUUUAUCAGGCUUGAACAGGGAUCUGACAACAUCCUGCUGCAGAGGGAUGUGAAUAUCUCACAUGGAGGGAACCUGGUCACCUCAGUGUACACUGAUUGCACUUAGAAAACACCAAAACACUGGGACUUGCCUGGGUUUGAUGGCGUUGUGAAAGGACUUUUAUAUUAAGAAAGCUGUUGCAAAAAUUGCAGGUUUUAUGAUCCCAGUAUUCCUUCAGGCCUGUUUUUCUUCAGUGUGUUCAGAAUUAGCUCUUGAAGUAGGAGUGACAGUCCAUGAGGUAAGAUAUAAACAUCAUAUGGCUGCCUGCUUCUCAGGAGAGACACUCAGAUACAGGAUCAGAGGCAGGGUAGAAGAACAACAUUAAAAUAUACUAAAUCCUGCCAUCCAUGAAAGGCAUUCCUCUCAUCUUCUGCUGGGUUUGCUCCACAAGAGAUUGUGGAUUCCAAGGCCUCAGCUUGGGUCUCUCCUACCAUAGGGAGCCUGGGUAUGUCAGAAUGGGAAGAAACAACUCAGGCCCUGUGGGUACAGAGGGGAACUGCAGGCAACAAACUAUUUCCCUCAAUAUUCAUGGGAAUUCAUUAGGACAGCUCAGAUGGGAUGUACUGGUUGAGAAUCCGUGGUGCUUUGGGAUGCCUAAAUGACAGUUAAGCCCUAAUAGCCAGGAGCAGAUCAGUCACCCUGUUGUGUAUCUGAAGCUAAAAUAGAGAAAGUGCUUUCUGGUGUCAAUUUUUUUUUAUCUAAUACUUUUAAUUUUCUUCUUAUUGGUAUUUGCUGACAGCAGCAGAACUGCAGUUGCACAUGAGCAGACUUUAUUAUCUGCCAGAAGAUCUCUGCCAUGGUUCAGCCUGAGUGAGAAGUGAGGGCCCUGUAUAUAAACAUAAAGAAUUUACAGACAGUUAGAAAAUCCUCAUUAUUUAUCAUUUCCUCAGUUGAAUUGUCACCAAAGGCCUGCAAGCACCUUUGUUUCGAAGUGAGUGAGUUCAUCUAGAAUCUCCUUUUAAGUAGGUUUCAGCUGUCCAGGCAAUCUGGGAAUUUAUUCUGCAAACUUAUUGUGGGGCUGACAUGAACAAGCUGCUCUAUAGAGAGCUGGGAGGAAGGAAUAUGUUACCAGUAUUAGUCUCCUUUCUUCUCAUAGGUUCCUCAUUUUGUUAUUUUAUGCCUUUUUUAUUACCAAAACACCAGUUUUAAAAUCCCAAUCUAUCUUAUAAUUUAGUAAAAACAUCUAUAAAUGUUUUUAUCUGUCAGAAAAAGAAGUGGUUGUGGGUCUUUGCAUGGCAGAGCAGUAUUCAUUGUCACAGGGUGGCUCAAGGGGCAGGGGUUUAAUUCAGUGGCAUGUGCAAGGCAAAGGUGAAGUGUCAGGAGGCCACGCUGAGCUCAUUGCCUAAUUACUCACUUAUUAUCUGUGUGGAAGUCCCAAAGCUUCUAAACAAGAGCUUGGGGAAGUUCUGGCUGAUAUCCUUUUCUCUUGGACCCUGUGAUCUAUUCCAAUUCAAGAAGGUGCAAUGACUGACAGGCCAGAGCACCUGGAGUCCAGGAGUUCCUGGCAUCUCACUGGUUUAUUUCCAUUUCUGACAGUGGGAGGAUUCUUCCUCAGCAGGUUCCAAAUCUGAGCCAGGAAUGCCAGAGCUCACCCCUAUGCUGUCAGGUCACCAAGCCAGAGCUAUGUUAAACAAUUGCAUUUCCAGGUGCAGGGUGAAUGAAGUCUCAGGA